rnacentral:lncRNA from 1 species
CUCUUUUACAGUCUCACAUUGAGUUCCCUGGAAGUGUAUCGAAUUGGGUCUGUUAGCAUCUAGGACAGAGUGUCCCUAUUAAUCAGCAGGGUCAUGGGAAGCCAGCUCAGAGCCACCAACCAGCCUCCAGAUUGUUUCCUUCAGGUCUGAUGCCUUUGCCUAGGAUGAUCCAGCAGGAUGAUAGAGCCACAUCUUGUGUUAUAAAUUAAGGGACCCACAUAGAAGGUGAUACCACUGGUGGAUGCAUGGCUGGAUGAAAACUCUAGAAACCAACAACCUCAGUGACUGAAGGAAGAUGAGUUGGACAAGAAAAAGUGAAAGAGGAGCAGCUAUGGUUCCCGCUGGAAGGAAACGGAAGACUUCAGUUCUCUGGAGGGAGCUUCUCCCGCAGCAUACAGGUUCUUGCUGGAACCCUGUUGCAUUUCCUCUGUAGGACACACAGGUUUAUCUAAGCUGUGAAAGCAACACAGAGAUAAGACCCAUGGUGUUUUCCUUGUUAGAAAAAAGCUGUCUACUUCCUGUCUGGAGAAACCAGGGACACUUGAUUUUGAAGGGACUUCAGCAAUGUAAGCACAAAAUCAGCCCCUUCUCUUUAAUUUAAAUUCCACCCUUCUCUUGGGUGACGGCUGUUUCUAAGUUAUUUAAAGAUUUAGAAAGUAGCUAGAAGGUCACUGGGUUUGUGGCGGCAUUGGCUUUUAAGCUUGUGCAAUAAAACCACAUUCGGCUUGUUCCCUAAGGUGAGGGCAGAAAUGACUGGACGGAAUGCCCACCUGCCCAUACAGUUUGAAGAGAACAGUCCAAGUUCUCAAAUAGUUCGAAACCUUUUAAGAAAUCAGAAAUAGUAGGAAACAUUGCAUCUGAAGUCACAGAAUAUGUUAAUAUUAACCCGUGUGGCUGGAAUAAAUGUGCAAGCUGAUGUGUUAAUCUCUGACGUAUUUGGAGAUAUUUCCUUUAUGUAAAUAAUUUAAACUGUCCACAAGAUAACUUCAUUUUCUACAGAGUCCGAUUUGAUUUUAACAUUUUUUGAAGAUCAUGGGAGUUUAUCAUUUUGUUUUUGGUUUCAUUCAAUGGUAGCAAUCUGAGAUAGUCACCUGCCCAUCCCAGGUCCAGUUGUGUAACUUUUAACAAGUUAUUAAACAUCCUCAUGCCUCAGUUUCUUCAUUUAUAAAGUGGGGAUAAUAGUAUCUACAGCCGGGCACGGUGGCUCAUGCCUGUAAUCCCAGCACUUUGGGAGGCUGAGGCAGGCAGAUCACUUGAGGUCAGGAGUUCGAGACCAGCCUGGUCAACAUGGUAAAAUCCUGUCUCUACCAAAAAUAUAAAAAAUUAGCCAGGUGU